GUUAAUCAAUGUCCAUUUCGGGGAGCUUGCUCUCUGCCGUUCCCUGUUCCGUCCCUGCGGAUGUGGCUUUGUCUUGGUUGCUCAGCUGGCUCUCGGUUCCCUCCUGCCCAUUCACUGGUCCAUUCUCUGUCUUCUCCUCCUGAGGAGGCUCCACCUUGGGUUUGCGUUUGGACACCACGGGGUUGCAAGCUAAAUAAAGCUCCUGGACAAAAAAGAAAAGAAAAGAAGAGUGGGGCUUUGGCCUGGCUUUGCAAGGUCAAGUCGAAGACGGCUUUCAUACGUGGAUCGCCUACAAACAAGCGGAGGAUUUUAGGGAUGUAAUGGCAUGUGUGCCUCUCAGUCUCUCAGUACCUUAGUCUUGGCCUUGAUCUCCUCAACUUUUACCACUGGUUCCAGCGUGAGGUCCUGACUGUUCUGCUGGUUUAUCUUGCUGUUCAUCCAGGCCAUGGCGUCGUUCGCUUGCUUCUCCACCCGAGUCAAC